rnacentral:rRNA from 1 species
GCAUAUCAAUAAGCGGAGGAAAAGAAACCAACAGGGAUUGCCCUAGUAACGGCGAGUGAAGCGGCAACAGCUCAAAUUUGAAAUCUGGCUUUCGGGCCCGAGUUGUAAUUUGUAGAGGAUGAUUUUGAUGCGGUGCCUUCCGAGUUCCCUGGAACGGGACGCCAUAGAGGGUGAGAGCCCCGUCUGGUUGGAUGCCAAAUCUCUGUAAAUCUCCUUCGACGAGUCGAGUAGUUUGGGAAUGCUGCUCUAAAUGGGAGGUAUAUGUCUUCUAAAGCUAAAUACCGGCCAGAGACCGAUAGCGCACAAGUAGAGUGAUCGAAAGAUGAAAAGCACUUUGAAAAGAGAGUUAAAAAGUACGUGAAAUUGUUGAAAGGGAAGCGUUUAUGACCAGACUUGGGCUUGGUUAAUCAUCUGGGGUUCUCUCCAGUGCACUUUUCCAGCCCAGGCCAGCAUCAGUUUUCGCCGGGGGAUAAAGACUUCGGGAAUGUGGCUCCCCUCGGGGAGUGUUAUAGCCCGUUGUGUAAUACCCUGGUGGGGACUGAGGUUCGCGCUUCUGCAAGGAUGCUGGCGUAAUGGUCAUCAACGACCCGUCUUGAAACACGGACCAAGGAGUCGUCUUCGUAUGCGAGUGUUCGGGUGUCAAACCCCUACGCGUAAUGAAAGUGAACGCAGGUGAGAGCUUCGGCGCAUCAUCGACCGAUCCUGAUGUUCUCGGAUGGAUUUGAGUAAGAGCAUACGGGGCCGGACCCGAAAGAAGGUGAACUAUGCCUGUGUAGGGUGAAGCCAGAGGAAACUCUGGUGGAGGCUCGCAGCGGUUCUGACGUGCAAAUCGAUCGUCAAACAUGGGCAUGGGGGCGAAAGACUAAUCGAACCUUCUAGUAGCUGGUUUCCGCCG